GAUGAACGCUAGCGGCAGGCUUAACACAUGCAAGUCGAGGGGUAUCACGCUUUCGGGCGUGAGAGACCGGCGCACGGGUGCGUAACGCGUAUGCAAUCUACCUUUUGCAGAGGGAUAGCCCAGAGAAAUUUGGAUUAAUACCUCAUAGUAUAGAACAAUCGCAUGAUUGAACUAUUAAAGUCACAACGGCAAAAGAAUGAGCAUGCGUCCCAUUAGUUAGUUGGUAAGGUAACGGCUUACCAAGAACUACGAUGGGUAGGGGUCCGUGAGAGGGAGAUCCCCACACUGGUACUGAGACACGGGCCAGACUCCUACGGGAGGCAGCAGUAGGGAA
rnacentral:rRNA from 1 species